UACGUAGGGUGCGAGCGUUAAUCGGAAUUACUGGGCGUAAAGCGUGCGCAGGCGGUCUGUUAAGACAGAUGUGAAAUCCCCGGGCUUAACCUGGGAACUGCAUUUGUGACUGGCAGGCUAGAGUAUGGCAGAGGGGGGGGUAGAAUUCCACGUGUAGCAGUGAAAAUGCGCAGAUAUCAGGGAGGGAACACCCGGUGGGCGAAAGGCGGGGUCUCUGG
rnacentral:rRNA from 1 species